rnacentral:rRNA from 1 species
GACGAACGCUGGCGGCGUGCUUAACACAUGCAAGUCGAACGGAAAGGCCCUGCUUUUGUGGGGUGCUCGAGUGGCGAACGGGUGAGUAACACGUGAGUAACCUGCCCUUGACUUUGGGAUAACUUCAGGAAACUGGGGCUAAUACCUGAUAGGAGCUCCUGCUGCAUGGUGGGGGUUGGAAAGUUUCGGCGGUUGGGGAUGGACUCGCGGCUUAUCAGCUUGUUGGUGGGGUAGUGGCUUACCAAGGCUUUGACGGGUAGCCGGCCUGAGAGGGUGACCGGCCACAUUGGGACUGAGAUACGGCCCAGACUCCUACGGGAGGCAGCAGGGGGGAAUAUUGCACAAUGGGCGGAAGCCUGAUGCAGCAACGCCGCGUGCGGGAUGACGGCCUUCGGGUUGUAAACCGCUUUCGCCUGUGACGAAGCGUGAGUGACGGUAAUGGGUAAAGAAGCACCGGCUAACUACGUG